ensembl:lncRNA
GGUCACCCCACUGUCCCAGCCGUGGUCCUAAACGACGCCAAGGCCCCAUCCCAUGGGGUCUCCUCCUUGAGGAGCUGGGUAUGGGGUGGCUCUCGGGGAGCCCAGGGCAUCUCCGCUUGCCUUGCUCCUCUGGCUGUAAGGUCAGGUCCUUGCCCAGAAACAGGGAUCCGGGAGGAACCAGCCCAGCAGCACGGCAUUAAGUCGGGAUUACUCGCGCUCUGCCAUGCGGUUUUCACCCAAGUGGCCUACCAUGCCUCCUCCAGAUCUCCUCGGCAGGGGUCAGCAGCCCGUGGACUGAGCCGACGAAAGCAAGUGUCUGAGUGGUCCUGACGCAGGGCACGCUGCUGUCCCUGCAGUGCUCGCAGCAGCGCACGCGUGUUCUUGCCCAAAACCUGAAGACGUCUGUGCGUCCAGGAGACAUGACUUUCCGUUCGCAUGAUUAUUGGCUGUUUCUGUUUCCUGUUCUGCCAAAUGUCUGCCUUUUGCCCAUUUUUAAAAUCAGAUCCUAUGUCUCUAUCUUCUGAGGCGUGGGGAAGUCUGUAUUACUGGGUAGAAGUCAUUUGUUACUUGCAUGGAUUGUAAAUACUGUCUCAUAUUUGCGACC